GAUGAACGCUGGCGGCGUGCCUAAUACAUGCAAGUCGAGCGAAUGGAUUAAGAGCUUGCUCUUAUGAAGUUAGCGGCGGACGGGUGAGUAACACGUGGGUAACCUGCCCAUAAGACUGGGAUAACUCCGGGAAACCGGGGCUAAUACCGGAUAACAUUUUGAACCGCAUGGUUCGAAAUUGAAAGGCGGCUUCGGCUGUCACUUAUGGAUGGACCCGCGUCGCAUUAGCUAGUUGGUGAGGUAACGGCUCACCAAGGCAACGAUGCGUAGCCGACCUGGGAGGGUGAUCGGCCACACUGGGACUGGGACACGGCCCAGACUCCUGCGGGAGGCAGCAGUAGGGAAUCUUCCGAAAUGGACGAAAGUCUGACGGAGCAACGCCGCGUGAGUGAUGAAGGCUUUCGGGUCGUAAAACUCUGUUGUUAGGGAAGAACAAGUGCUAGUUGAAUAAGCUGGCGCCUUGACGGUACCUAACCAGAAAGCCACGGCUAACUACGUGCCAGCCGCCGCCGUAA
rnacentral:rRNA from 1 species